rnacentral:tRNA from 2 species
CCCAGGUUAGCUCAGUGGGUAGAGCGCUCCACCUGUAAUGGAGAGGUCUCGGGUUCGAUACCCGGACCAGGCG